rnacentral:lncRNA from 1 species
CUUUAUGAACUCUUUUUUUAUUAUUUUUAUAUUAUUUCUUUUCUCUCUUGGAAUAUAAAUGAUUAAUUUUUAAGUCUUUAAUAGUGUAGAUGAUGAAAUUAGUAUUUAACCAAUUUAAAAUAUAAAAUUCAUGAUAAUUAUGAAAUCCUGAUUUUACCACUGUAUAUUUUAUCGUAUUUUUCUUAUCUCGUAUUUUACUGUAACUCUGGUGGGUAGAUCAAGACUAUUGGACAAUGCAUGUGUCACAGUCACUCACAAUCACAGAUUCACAGCAAUGUGGUAUAAUCGUCGCAUAAUGAAUCGCUGACUAAAUAAAUAGCGAGUUAAUAACGUGGUUCCCUCCUCUUCUUUAAAUAAUAGUUGAAGAUGUGUCAUGCAGAUUCCAGACAACCCAUUGUCUCUUUAUAUCAUUUGACGUUUACCAACUUUAAUUACUCAAAUCCCUUUGUCAUUU